rnacentral:rRNA from 1 species
UACGAAUGUGGCAAGCGUUGUUCGGAUUUACUGGGCGUACAGGGAGCGUAGGCGGUUGGAUAAGCCCUCCGUGAAAUCUCCAGGCUUAACCUGGAAAGUGCAGAGGGGACUGUUCAGCUAGAGGAUGGGAGAGGAGCGCGGAAUUCCCGGUGUAGCGGUGAAAUGCGUAGAGAUCGGGAGGAAGGCCGGUGGCGAAGGCGGCGCUCUGGACACUUACUGACGCUGAGACGCGAAAGCGUGGGGAGCAAACAGG